GGUUGAGAGCGAUUGGGUGAGCGUUGAUGAGCGAUUUUGAGAGCAGUGAAGUUUGGAGAUAUCGUGAGAGCGUCGAGAGAUUGAGAGAAGAGAGAUUGAGAGCGAGUACGCGUUUGGGGAGAGAACAAAGACGAUGGUCUGUUCUUUGUUCCCAUUUCUUUUUUCUUUUUUUUAAUUUAUUUUUAAACAAAGAUAAGCAUUGAAACCAUAUUUUUUUUUAUGUUUUUAAACUUCCUAAGUUUUCAUUUUUAACUUCCUAAGUUUAAUAAAUAUUUUCUCAUUUUCAAUUCAUAUGCCAUUGAGAAACCCAGCAGCCAGGCGGCUGGGUUUUUUGUUGGUAAACCAACAGACCUUCAUUAUUGUUAUUUUAGUUCCUUUUUAUUUUUAUUCCAAUCUAGUCUGGUUUAUAUGUUUAAGCUGUUAUUUAAAUGACAACUAAUGAUAAAUGAUCUAGUGGAGAGGGGGGUGUUUUCUAUGGUCUUUAGUGGAGUGGGUUCAAUACUCAUGUAUAGCAUUCUAUUUCUUUUGGAAUUUUUU
rnacentral:lncRNA from 1 species